GGGGCCACGCCCAGAGUAAAUUAUCCACUAGUGAAGAUAAGUUAUACAAAGGACUUACACGACAAACUCUCAAGCUUUCUCGCCUCUAUAACUUCCCAAACCCUCACAACCGUGAAUAAUUGAGAGAAGAACAACGAUCAACUCUCUAAGUGUGAAUGAACCUCACUCACCACCAACACCCACGAAAAUAAGCUUUACCAACAAGCCUGGUAAAGGAAAAACAAGAAAAACCAACUCUCCCAACCUUGCUUACAAACGCAUAAAGCAACACACACUCUAGUUCGUUUACUCACGUAAAGAACGAACUCAACACUCACAAGAAACACUCUUUAUGAACUGAAGAAGAGUAAAAACGCA
rnacentral:lncRNA from 1 species